AGGCCCGAACCGUUGUAUGUUGAAAAAUGCUCGGAUGAGCUGUGGAUAGGGGUGAAAGGCCAAACAAACUUGGAAAUAGCUGGUUCUCCCCGAAAUGUAUUUAGGUACAGCCUCGUGUUAAUCAGUAACGGGGGUAGAGCACUGGAUGGGCUAGGGGUCCUACCAGAUUACCAAACCUAACCAAACUCCGAAUACCGUUAACUGCUAUCACGGGAGUGAGACUAUGGGAGCUAAGUUCCAUGGUCGAGAGGGAAACAGCCCAGAUCGCCAGCUAAGGUCCCCAAAUAUAUGCUAAGUGGGAAAGGAUGUGGAAAUGCCCAGACAACCAGGAGGUUGGCUUAGAAGCAGCCACCCUUUAAAGAAAGCGUAAUAGCUCACUGGUCGAGUGGGUCUGCGCCGAAAAUGUAACGGGGCUCAAGCAUAUUACCGAAGCUGCGGAUUUUACAUUUAUUUGUAAAGUGGUAGGGGAGCAUUCUGUACGGAUUGAAGGUUGAUCGUAAGAACGGCUGGACUGUACAGAAGAGAUCAUGCUGACAUGAGUAACGAUAAAACGGGUGAAAAACCCGUUCGCCGAAAGCCCAAGGGUUCCUGGGUAAAGUUAAUCUGCUCAGGGUUAGUCGAUCCCUAAGCCGAGGCCGAAAGGCGUAGGCGAUGGAAAACAGGUUAAUAUUCCUGUACCACCGGGCAGUCGUUUGAGUGAUGGGGGGACGCAGAAGGGUAGGUCAUCCAUCUGUUGGAUUAGAUGGUUCAAGCCUGUAGGCAGAAGGUGUAGGCAAAUCCGCACCUUUAUUUUAAUGCUGAGAGGUGAUGAGGAGUCCUUUGGACAUAAACUGAUUGAUCCCAUACUGCCAAGAAAAGCCUCUAGCGAGACUGUCAGGUGAUCGUACCGUAAACCGACACAGGUAGGCAGGGAGAGUAUCCCAAGGCGCUUGAGAGAACUCUGGUUAAGGAACUCGGCAAAAUCAUACCGUAACUUCGGGAUAAGGUAUGCCCCCGUUAAGUGAUGCGUUUCGCAUGCUGAGCUGAAGGGGGCCGCAGAGAAAUGGCGGUAGCGACUGUUUACUAAAAACAUAGGACUCUGCUAAGUCGCAAGACGAUGUAUAGGGUCUGACGCCUGCCCGGUGCUGGAAGGUUAAGGGGGUUAGCUCUUCGGAGCGAAGCUUUGAACCGAAGCCCCAGUAAACGGCGGCCGUAACUAUAACGGUCCUAAGGUAGCGAAAUUCCUUGUCGGGUAAGUUCCGACCUGCACGAAUGGCG
rnacentral:rRNA from 1 species